rnacentral:rRNA from 1 species
UGCAGCAGGCGCGAAAACCUUUACACUGCACGACAGUGCGAUAAGGGAACUCCAAGUGCGAGGGCAUAUCGUCCUCGCUUUUCUGUACCGUAGGGAGGUACAAGAAUAAGGGCUGGGCAAGACCGGUGCCAGCCGCCGCGGUAACACCGGCAGCCCAAGUGAUGGCCGAUAUUAUUGGGCCUAAAGCGUCCGUAGCCAGCCGAACAGGUCCGUCGGGAAAUCCGCUCGCUCAACGAGCAGGCGUCCGGUGGAAACCAGUCAGCUUGGGACCGGAAGACCCGAGGGGUACGUCCGGGGUAGGAGUGAAAUCCCGUAAUCCUGGACGGACCACCGAUGGCGAAAGCACCUCGGGAAGACGGAUCCGACGGUGAGGGACGAAAGCUAGGGUCACG